GGAGUUGUGGCUCAGUGGUACAGCACUCGCCUAGCAUGUGCGAGGCCCUGGAUUCAAUCCUCAGCACCA
rnacentral:tRNA from 1 species